CGAGCCAAACAUCCUGUUCAUUCGGCGAUGUGCGCUAUGGUUCCAUGCUGUUGUUCCCGUCCUCGUAUAUUGGUUGUCGUAUGAUUUAGCGAUGUCAUGAUGGUUUAUUGUGUGACAUUUGGUUGUGCAAAUGUUUCAGGCAGUGGCAAGAGUUAUAUUUUUGGGCUUUCCAAGUGAAAAAGGAAUAUGUGACCAGUGAAUAGGGAAAGUCAAUCGACAUGGGAAGAAACGUGGUCAGCUAUUUUUGUCCUUCAAAAUGUGUGAGUGUAGUUUAGCGCAUUCCAAAUGUGUGCUGAUCAAUUCGAACCGGCGUGUUUUGAGAAAGACUGAGUAGAAAGCAUUGGAUACAGAGGUAGAGGCUGAAACUAUUUUUCCUACGGCCUUCGGGACCUCAACCGCCAGCAAGAGAACUAAAUCUCGCAGGGGCCAUGGUGCAAAGGUGAAGCGGCGCCGACAAGAGCUGCUACUUGGCUGCUCGUCGUCGUCACUGUCUGAUCGCCUCAAACAUGUACGCUUUGACGAUGCCAAGUUCAGUUGGGUGUACCUCGAAAUCCUCCUCCUCCACAUAUUCCAACACGUCGCUCGACAUUGCAACGUCAUUUCUGGUAGCCCUAGCGGUGGAUAGAGUAACCACACCCCGGUGUCUUGAGCUUCGGGUAUGUCUCAAUAUGCGUCAUAAAAAACUAAUUUUUAGCUAAACUAUGUUUGAAAACUUGCUGGAAAUUAUGUGCAUGUAACAUAUAAACAAUGCAAAUAUGAAUUUUAACUGACCCCAUAACAUCUUUGUUGCAGACUGCGUACCUUUUUUUUUUUUUUUUACUGAAUCAGAACUACUAGAGUAUUUUUUGACACAUCUUUACUUCUACUUGAGUACAGCGUGUGAGUACUUUUGCCCCCUCUGGCGGAUGUGACAAGCUGCUUUCAGCGCCAUUGGCAUUUUGUCUGUCACUGAUCACACGUCAGCAGACACUUCCGGCUCACUGACUCCUCUCCAUGCUUUCAUGUCGACGUCUCCCAGCACCGCCUUCAUUUUGAAUGAGUGGGCAGGUCCCCACAAACCUUCCCUGAGUCUCUCCUCUCCACGUCAUCAUGUCCAACCGUGACGACCGAGUGGACAGUUUCAUGAUUUCGUGCAACACUGUCAUUGCUUACAUCCAACAAUUCUUGCGCAAUCAGCUGUGUGCGUGUGCAUUAGCACGUGUGAGGCCGCGCACCCACUAGUGCGUGUCUGCGUGAGAUGAUGUGUGUGAUGUGUGGAAGCGAAGCAUAUUUGCCUCCAAGCUAUAUCAUUUGCAUACCUGUCACAGCCCCUCCGCUGGGUGUCAGGUGCACUGAUGCAUAGUGCGUUCCAGUGGCAGCUCUCCUAUUUCAUGGCUUUCCACUGUUGUGUGGCGCACGUCUGAGUGUCAGCUGACAAUGAGUGUGUGUGUUUGUGCAGAUCCAGAGGCAAACACACAGUCCCCGGCGAGGACAACACGAUUAAAAUCUUCCACGGAGGAGUUAGAGCCUGAAUGUACUUUAAAGUUUGGCAAAGUCUUCAAGGUAAAAAAAUCUCCACAUAAUGCAUAAACGUGUUCACAUGAACAACGACAACAAGGUCCCAUAGCCUUUCAACCAUAAUUUUCACAUCAAUUUUCUACUCCAUUCGUCCUCAUUCGGAUCGCAGGUAAACGGGAGCCUAUCCCACGUAACUGUACUGGAUUACAGUUAAAUCUUUUUUUGUAUUCUGAAUACGUAACGCCGGCAGAUGUAUUCCGUUACUCCCCAAGCCUGUACACGGCACAGAGUAGUCUCAAAUGAACCUAACAUGCAUUUUUUGGGGGGAAUCUAGGGGAAAGACCGAGUACCUGCAGAAAACCCACACAAGCACGGUGAGAACAUGCAAACUCCAAACAGGAGGGCCGGAGCCAAGAUUCGAACCCCGAACCUCAGAACUGUGACGCAGACAUGCAAACCACUGGAUCUACUGUGCUGCCCAUCGCAAAUUCCAUCCAGCCAUCCAUUUUCUAUAUCGCGUGUCCUCAUUAGGGUCGCGGAUGUGCUACCCCAGCUGACUGGGUGAGAGGCACGGUACACUCUGGACGAGGGGUUGAAUGAAUGAAGAUUUUUUUGUAGUCGACUAGAAUGUGAUGAAAGGCAAGUCAAAUGUUAUUAACCAAUGACUGUCAUUGAUACUUUUUUUCAGCACAGAACAGCAGUCCCCAACCUUUUUUCUGCCACGGACUGGUUUCACGUAAAGACAUAUUUUGACAGACUGGCAUGGAAACAAAUACAAAAAAAAUGUUUGAAAAUACAACUCACAUUACGCUGAAGGUAGUUGUUGCAAUCAGUGGGAGCCCUGCACGUUUUUCUCUUCAAUGAACCGCCAAGUCUGAUCUUGUGUCAUAACAAGGCUCCCAAAAAUUAAGGAAGCAUUUAGCUAUUUGUAUUUGACGACGGACUUGGAUAUUUUGUUAGUGACCGUGCUAUCGGUCUCAUUUUUGGUUAAAUAUUUCCACACGUUUUUAGCAUAGUAAGGCCAUAUGCUGUACUGCGACGUGUGUUAAGACACAGUGCACCAACAUCACAACACAAAUGUGAUUGUGCUGCAUGUUGUGACAUGAAUAAAGUUCUUGUCAUCACACAGUUGUUGACGGCAUAUUAUUAGACAUAACAUUUUUGCGUCAAAGAUGCAGUUUCACUUCACACCGCAGACCUCGUUUCUCACCACAAUUCCCGCAGUCCUGCAGGUAUAAAUCUUUUAAACCUAGCGGCAAUUGGAAUAGCUGAAGCUAGCGAGGCUAACCGCUAUUUUCAUCCACCACCCUCUUAUUUCCACGCAGACGUAUAAAGUCUGUGUUGCCUUGUUGGCCGGAAAUUCCACUGCUCCACACAGCGUUACAGGUGGCGAUGAGUCGAAAGUCUUCUGUAAAUUGGCCGAUUGGAAGACGAGAUGCCAAAAACACAUGAUUAGCGAUUGGAUGACUUCAGACUUUCAACGUCGAUGCGGAGUAGUAAAGUCAACUCAAUUAGUCGACUAAUCGGUUCAACCCCGACCCCGGACUGGUCGACAUCUAAUCGCAGUGUUACAUUGCUGCUAUGUGCCAAUAUGUUUCUUACCAGUUCUAUGAUCAUCAUCGAACAUCAUAGAACAGCUCAGCGUCACACUUGCCAUCUGCCAGUGGAUUUACAGCUUUCUGACGGGCAGGACACAGCAGGUCAGGCUGGGGGAGGCCUCAUCCACACGCAGCAUCAGCACUGGGGCGCCCCAAGGUUGUGUCCUCUCUCCGCUGCUCUUCUCUCUCUACACGAACGACUGCACCUCAGCGAACCCGACUGUCAAACUCCUGAAGGUUGCAGAUGACACCACUGUCAUCUGCCUCAUCAAGGACGGUGACGAGUCUGCAUAUCGACAGGAAGCGGAGCGGCUGGAGCUGUGGUGCGGCCGACACAACCUGGAGCUGAACACGCUCAAGACUGUAGAGAUGAUCGUGGACUUCAGGAGGCAUCCUUCGCCACAGCUGCCUCUCACGUUGUCCAGCUGCCUUGUGUCAACCGUCGAGACCUUCAAGUUCCUGGGAAUUACAAUCUCCCAGGACCUGAAGUGGGCGACCAACAUCAACUCCGUCCUCAAAAAGGCCCAGCAGAGGAUGUACUUCCUGCGGCUUCUGAGAAAGCACGGCCUGCCACCGGAGCUGCUGAGACAGUUCUACACAGCGGUAGUCGAAUCAGUCCUGUGUUCUUCCAUCACAGUCUGGUUUGGUGCUGCUACAAAAAAGGACAAACUCCGACUGCAACGGACAAUCAAAACUGCUGAAAGGAUUGUCGGUACCCCCCUACCCACCCUUGAGGACUUGCACGCUGCCAAAACUAAGACAAGGGCGUGCAAAAUCCUCUCGGACCCUCCCCACCCCGGUCACCAGCUCUUCCAGCUCCUUCCCUUAGGUAGGCGCUACCGAUCAAUGCAAACUAGAACUAGUAGACAUUCCAACAGCUUCUUCCCUCUUGCAAUCAACUUCUUAAACAGCUAACCUAUAAUUCCAUUACAACAAGCUGGCAAUUUUUUGACUUGAGUUCGUUGUCACAUUUCUGUGGGGCCAAUUAUGUAUUACUCGUGCACUCGCUGUAGUUGUCUCGCCAUGCUGCACUAUUUGCAUAUACUGGCCACUCAUGCCAGAGUAGCAUCUGCUCCAUUUGCACACUGAUUGAGGAGUAUCUGUAACAUUUGCACAACCAUUGUCCCAGAUUAUCGCACUACUCGUCACUUUAAACCGCAUACACUCCUUGAAGUCUCAGCGCCCUUUGCACAAUGGUCAUUGCACCGGACUAUUGCAAUAUUAGUCAUUCGAACUGCUCUAAGUGCUAGAGGACUCUGCAUCUUUUUGCACAAUUGUUUUUUGUCAAUGUCUUUAUGUCUCCAAAGUGUUCUGUAAAUUGACUGUCUGUUGUACUAGAGCGGCUCCAACUACCGGAGACAAAUUCCUUGUGUGUUUUGGACAUACUUGGCAAAUAAAGAUGAUUCUGAUUCUGA